GUCAAGCUCGUGUCGUAGAUGUUGGGUUAAGUCCCGCAACGAGCGCAACCCUUGUCAUUAGUUGCUACAUUCAGUUGGGCACUCUAAUGAGACUGCCGGUGACAAACCGGAGGAAGGUGGGGAUGACGUCAAGUCCUCAUGGCCCUUAUGGGUAGGGCUACACACGUCAUACAAUGGCCGGUACAGAGGGCUGCCAACCCGCGAGGGGGAGCCAAUCCCAGAAAACCGGUCGUAGUCCGGAUCGUAGUCUGCAACUCGACUGCGUGGAGUCGGAAUCGCUAGUAAUCGCGGAUCAGCUUGCCGCGGUGAAUACGUUCCCGGGUCUUGUACACACCGCCCGUCACACCAUGGGAGCGGGUUCUGCCAGAAGUAGUUAGCCUAACCGCAAGGAGGGCGAUUACCACGGCAGGGUUCGUGACUGGGGUGAAGUCGUAACAAGGUAACCA
rnacentral:rRNA from 1 species